rnacentral:rRNA from 1 species
CAGUAGGGAAUCUUCCGCAAUGGACGAAAGUCUGACGGAGCAACGCCGCGUGAACGAUGAAGGUCUUCGGAUCGUAAAGUUCUGUUGUUAGGGAAGAACAAGUACCGUGCGAAUAGAGCGGUACCUUGACGGUACCUAACGAGGAAGCCCCGGCUAACUACGUGCCAGCAGCCGCGGUAAUACGUAGGGGGCAAGCGUUGUCCGGAAUUAUUGGGCGUAAAGCGCGCGCAGGCGGUUCCUUAAGUCUGACGUGAAAGCCCACGGCUCAACCGUGGAGGGUCAUUGGAAACUGGGGAACUUGAGGACAGAAGAGGAGAGUGGAAUUCCACGUGUAGCGGUGAAAUGCGUAGAUAUGUGGAGGAACACCAG